UUAUCAUAUGUUAAAUAGGUCAUUGUGUGUGUUCGAGUCCUUGCGUGACACCGAACGCCCAACCGACACCUUCGUCGGAGCUACUUACGCCAGGUGAGUUCAUACCCCUGAAUGAACCUUUUAAAUGUUUUUACAUGUUUUAUAGGGGGGAGUACAAGUUAAACAUGCCAGUUAUCAUAUCAAUCACAUGUGAUUGAUAACCCGCAUGCACAAGGUUUUAUCACUGUACACUGUUUUUACCGAGUAGGAUGCUAUAAAUGGUUUUCAAAAAGGUUUUCACUUGUUCAAAACUCUUACUUAUACUGUUUUUAUCAAAGUUCAUUUCAAACUGGGUUAUGAAAAGUUUCCAAGGAAUUUAUAAAGUUCUUUCAAACUUAUUUUACCAAAGAAUACCAAAUGUGAAUUUACCUGAGUAUAAAGGUCUUUCCCAAGGCUUUCAUCGAAGUUCUCUUUCACAACGUAUACUUUUACUUGUUAGUUACUGAUGCUUCGCUUUUACUUAUUUUAUACUCCUACUUGGUAACGCUUUCACUUCUUGAAGCGCUUAUACCUAUUACUGCCUCUAUUUCACUUAUACUGGUAGUCACUUAUACCUGAUAGACGCUCUUACUUCACCAGUCGUCGCUUCUACUUCGUGGUACACUUAUACUUGAAAACGUUUCCACUUCGUGAUACACUUAUACCUGUUGGACGCUUAUACUUGUUCACACUCUUGCUUAGUGAUACGCUUCUACUUCACUUAUACUUGAUAUCGCUUCUACUUCACUUAAACUCGAUACGCUCCUACUUCAUUUGUUGUCGUUUCUACUUUGUGAUACACUUACUUGUGGCACGCUUAUACUUCACAAUUUGGUUAUUCCACACUGUACACUUAUACUUCACAAUAUGAAUCCACUUGUUACACACUCAAGCGUAGUUAGAUGUAUGUUUGUGCUUGCUUAGAUGCAUAUAAGUAAUGAUUGAAGGACUUAGGAAGGCUUGUCCGCCCUAUUUCCUUUUCUUCGUUGAGAUGUGGUCUGGUGGGAUCGGAUGUCCAUCCGAAGGUCGUUUGAUUCAUUAGUUAUAUACUAUGUACACAAGCAUAGACAUAUGGGUUUACUUCAGUCAGUUCAGUUAUGAGUCUCUACCUCUAGUUCAGCACUUACAUUAGAAACCCACUACCCACUAUUUGGGAUGCAUCUUCAGGACGCGGCCUUCUCCGUCGUCUAGUUGGUAACCAGAGUCUCCUGUAGGAGAGCGGACAUUGUGUGUAUAGAUCUAUACGGGAUUGACACCCCCGCACCCUGACUGCUAGCUACAGUCCACGGCCUACCAAGCCAAGGGGUGACAAAUGUCAUAUUCUUUAGACGCUUGUAGGGCGUCUGGUACUCUAGUGUCGGUUAGUAUGGUUACGAGUAUCCCAGGUUGCCUUAUAAUUCAUGGCCUUAAGGUAACGGUAUUUCGCCAGCAAUUUACACUGUAUGCUGGUAAUUCAAUUUCAGAGUCACACUGUUUUGACCUUACAAGACGUAUCUUUCAUUUGAUACUGUCUGGGGUCUGUCUCCUCUGUUUUGACCUUACAAGACGUAUCUCUCAUUUGAUGCUGUCUGGGGUCUGUAUCCACUGUAUUCACUGUAUCCACUGUAUUCACUGUUUUAGACCUUGCUAGACAUAUCUUUCAUUUGAUAUUGUCUGCGGUCUGUAUUCACUGUUUUGGACCUUACCAGCUGUACCUUUCAUUUGGUACCUUCUGGGGUCUGUGUCUCAUUUUGUUAGACUGAACCAGGCGUGUCGUUCGUUCGACACCCUCCUGGAGUCUAUGAUUCCUUGCCUUAGUCAGUAGUCCUCACUGCUGAGGCGUAUGUUAUUCCCUGAUGUUGUUGCUUUCUUUAAUAAUCAAAUUGAAUAUUUUGAUAAUGAUAGCAAUUUAGGGAAAACUACUUUUUACCACAUAACACUGACCAGUCUUGGUAGAAGGCUGCUUUAUUUAAAGAAGAUAUAGGAUUUUCUGGAAAGAACUCUAAUACACAGUAAACACUUAACUACUACUUCAUAAAGUUAUUUGACAAAAUGACACUAAAUACUUAUGAACUCACCAGCAUUGUAAAAAUGCUGAUACUCGCUUUUCAAAUAACUUGUAUUCUCAGGUUAGCAUUAGACAGGUACAUCCCCGGAGCUGUUGAUGAAGAUAGCUUAGUAGCACACUGAAUUUAUUCUAUUACUUGUAUUACUUUUUUGUAAUGUAAUAUGAAUCAUGUAAAACUAUUACUAUUAAUGCAAUGUUUUGUUGUACUUUGAUUACUAUAAUGCAUGUGUUGUGAUACUUGACAUGACGUCAUCCACCCCAGAACGUUUCCGCCGUUUCGGUGUUGGGAUGUGACAGAUUGGUAUCAGAGCAUUGUUUAUAGUGAGCUAAGUAUAUCAAUUCAUAAAAGAUAUACAGCCUAUAAAUACAAAAGGGAUAAAACACUCUGACCAAGAAUUAUACUUUAAAAUAUAACCAUAUUUUACCAAAGUAUAGUAACAUCCAAAAUCUAAAUACUCGAACAAAAGUAUCACAAGAAGAAUAAUGAUAAAAGUCUUCGGAUGUUGAGCAUUACCGUCAAACCUGGGCAGUUAUGUAAUCAUAAGCUGGAAUAAAUGUAACCUGAUCAACUACAUUUAUUCGAGAUGCGAUGAACGUGUGCUUGAGAGUGAUAGUGUUGUUGCAACAGGUCUGUAACUUACCAACUAGGAAUGUUAGAGCCAAACAUAAAGGUAAAAUACUAUAGGAGUAUUUUGGAACACUAAAAGAUUCACACUAAUCCCAUAAUCAUAACUCGAAGAUAAGAAUCAAACAAGAAUUAAAAUACCAUAGGGGUAUUUUAUGAUCCAUAACUAACCUUGCGUGAAUAACUAAAAAGAUCCUUAUUGAUAUACCUACAACUACAGAGGGUGUACUCCCAAGGUUAUAUAUAAUAAGGAUCCCAUAGGCUAAGAAUGUGUGGUUUCGCUCUACUUCCUUUUCCUCGUUGGGAUGUGGAUCUAGAGUAGUAUCACAUAUUCGAAGGCCUAUCGGAUCUAAGCUAUAUAUGAUUUGUAUACCCUGUGUAAUCGUAGCAGGACUCGAUAUGGAUCAUCCAGUGAAAUGUUAAUAAUCUCUUAGGAUUCUUUAGACAUUUCCUUUCUCGCAAGCACCCCGUAGAAAACCCUACCCACUUCAGUGCUUGACAGAAGAGUUGAGUCCGACCCCGAAGAAGUUCAUUGAGAAGAUUUCCAGCUCGGAAACGAAUGAACUAGGUCGAGGCUAUUGAAUUCACCAAGUGCCUAUAUCUUUUAGGGACAUCGGUGAGGAAUUCGCCUAAACUUCGGAGAUUCCCAGUCAUCUGUCAUGAAAUGAUGACACCCAGAGUCGGAAUCAGAAGGAGGGCGGAGUAGAAAUUCAAUAUGUCCGUACGAGAAGACAACCCUAGGAAACUACCCGAAGGAAACCAACGCCGAUACCAGCCAAAGAUACAAGGCAGACAGAGGGAGCCAGUGCAUGGAACCCGAGAAUUGUCUUUUCCUCGUGUUCGUCACGCUAAUACACCCAUAAAAUAAUACAAAUUAGUGAGUUAAUGGUUACACUACUCACGCUAUGUGUUAGGUAAACCGUCGUUUCCCAUUGCCAGAUACACGAUUAGAGCGGAUCCCCGCACCUCUAUUAAGGAUAUUCAGCCAUAAGCCUUCAUAAGGCUCUCUUUCCGCAGUUUCGUUCCGAACCGUUCUCAAAUCUCUCCAGGCCGGAGAGUGAAACCUUUCCCAGUAUAAAGGUAACUUAGUAGGAACGACUCGCAUCUUAUGGCCUUUUUUCGAUACUCAUACACCCACUUUGAUUACCAGGACUACAUAAUAGGGAUGUAGGUCGACACUCAGACGACCAGUACUUAAGGCACGGGAAAAAUUUAUGCCUAAUACGUUCAGGACAGAAAUGUCCAGGGUUAACCAUCGUCUCUAAUUACCUUGUAUUCCUUUCCGUGUAGGAAAACCAUGCCACCGAAGAAGCGUAACCAAUCCAAAAGCAAGAAACUUGCUCUCUUAUUCGAUGAAGCUACGUUCCAAGCUGCAGUCUCAGCAGCCGUAGCAGCUGUCAUGGCUCACCUGAAUGCUAACACCGCCAACGUUAGCAAGGGCCCUGUCGGGAUUUCCAAUCCUGGCGAUGGACAGCAAAAACCAACACUUUCAUACCCAGUCACCCAAGAACCUUCACCGAACCCACUAAAGAGAAAACUCAAGAUUGAGGAGGUAAGUACCUCGGCUCAAGGACCUUCUGAAAGGCGACGAGUUGAGGCAGUCUAUACCCCCGUCAAUCCUUCCCUCCCGACCUCAAGAAGACCAUACCUAGGAGACCUUCCCCACUGCAGCAAGUGCAGCUACCAUCAUCAUGGUGCCUGCCGGGAACUCUUAUGUGCUAGGUGCAACAUGAAGGGGCAUACUGCUCGUGUAUGCAGAACUCCGGUGGAGCGUAUUGCAUCAAUCACCAAUGUGACGACCAAUCCAGUUUGUUGUCUUGUGUGCCCGUUCGGCACAUGACUCUAUCGAUCUUCAUUAUAUAACAUGUCGAAGUGUGCCAACUUUGAUGACCCUAUCGAUCAUGAUUUAACUUCGUUCAGCCAUGUGUUCAUCCUUAGUGCUGUGUAAAAGAACUUUCUUCGUAGCCAUGUCGGCGCAUAAAGGUUCUUCCGAACCUAAACCUAACACAAAUAAUCAAACCUAAUGCGAUCCGUCAAUCGUCUCUCUUAUCUCAAACCUUCCGAAGUACCCAAGAGAGGGUACUAUACACUGUUGACCAACCCCUCGUAGUCAGAUGGACACUAAAGUGAACGACACUGCAGAUACUCCAGUAGACGACAACCGACCGAAGCAUACUCCGUAGAUUCCCCGGGAGAUCCUUCGCACCUCGCACAUCAGGUUCGUGAACCCAUAAAAUAGAACUCAUGAGACUGACCACUAUAACCAGGUAUAUGCAUAAAGGUGGCAUAUAAUUGAGAUCAAAAAGAUUUAAGGUGUGUGUUUCCUCCCUACUCCCUGUUCCUCGUUGGGUUGUGGGUUUGGGGUGGAGUCGCACAGCUGAUCAUCCUGCCGACCUCAAUUGUAUACUGCUUGCAUACACCAAGUACUGGUGGUUAAGCCAAGCAUGAGCUCUACCACGAACCUCUUCGCAAAACACUUUCACCCUAUUCCAUAACAUAGGAGCCGGAGUCAAGAGAAUCACUGCGGGAUAAGCUAGUAAAGUCCUGAGUGAUGAGACCCUAUACUCACUAGAAUUGAUCUAGACCGAGGAAACUCAGAACCUUCGGAAGAGUAGUUGCAGUAGAUGCUCUUACUACUCAGGCACCUUGCCCACCCUGUUAUAGACAAGUGGUGCUUAUCAUCCUCCACCCUCUCUCAAGGAGGAAAUCGUCAUCGCCCGGUAGACGAAGAAUCACACUUUCCGAAGUAAACACUAGAAUACCGAGAACCAUAGGAUAACCUUCGCAGCCAAGAAUACUUGAUCAAAGAGCGAAAGUAGUUGCGUUAGCCUCAUGACCCUGAUCCCGAAGAGGUUAUAGACUUGACACCAGUCCUGGUGUUAGUCGAAGGGUUAUGCAGGAGCAUACACUUUCCACGCUAGAAUAAACCAUGGUCUUAGAGAUUCAUUGGACUAUUAGGUGUUCCACGAAUACUAUCUCACGCAGAGAUAGUAGAACCACCUCCCGAGAUAUUCCAACACUCGUCUGGUGAAACCUUAUAUUCCCGACCUCCAGGGUUUCCGCAUCUCAAGCUUCGUUAGUGCAGAUUCCUUUUGCACAAGCUUGAGAUAGACACUCUACAGCAAACCGAUAACCAUAGUCAUGCAACCCACUCGACGAUCUAGAAAGUCUCUAUCAGCCAGUUGACAGAAAACACGAAACCAAAGACCACUCGAGAUUCCUAAGAACCAACCUGGAGGACUACAUGCACAGUACGAGUGAGAAUGUUAGGAACUUCGGAAUGGCGAUCACGCCAGUGAUGAUCUUGCCAUAGAAGUACACUAUGUUCUGAGUACUGAAAAGCUCUACCUUUCCGAGAGCUUAGGACCAUAUGAGAAUUCUCAUGGAGAUUUGGUCCAACCCUAUUCAGGCCACUACUACCUUCGGAUAUACCACAAGAUUCACACCCGGUCGAUCCACUUCUUAGACUUGAUAUGUGAUUUCCCAACAACACUCUUCGUGCCUCACUCAUCUUCAUAGAAUCCAUUGAGAACUCUAACCCUGUAAAUACACCAGUUGGAACCCACUAGCUACACGAGACGGAAUCCACAUCCCGUACGUGAAGGUCUGUCGAAAUGACAAACAUAGACUAGAGUUAACUUGGGAAUGCGAGGACAACCAUAUAGGAAGUACUCUCUUACCUCUACUUGGCCAUUCAUACCUACUUCCUUACCUAGACCUGAAUUUCGAGACGAAAUUCCCUCUAACGGGGGGAUGAUGUGACAACCCAAAGUUUAUUCCGUUACAUUACCCCGUUACCAUUAACGGAAUAUUCCACUGUAUAAAGGUUCCGUUAAUAAGAGGUCGUUAAAUAAAUAAAUGUUUUAUUUAUUUAUGUUUUUAUGUCGUUAUAGUCGUACUAAGGUAAAUGAAAACACUUAAAUUACAUUUCCAAAGUAAUUUAGAAAAAGUUUGUUUUAUUAUUAUGACCACUAAAUCGGGUGCGACCAAAAGCCCCGUAUAACGACAGUAUCGGGUAGAAUCCCACUGAGCCCCAACUCCAACCCCUAUAUAAGGGUGAGUGGAGUCCAUUGGAGAAUUUUUACACUCUCCAAACUCUCUCUGUCUACAACUUUUUCCCGAGCCAAAAAUCGUCCGUUUCGAGCCCCAAACAAGUAGGUAAACUAUCCUAACUCAUUGUAUAACUUAUCUAGCGUACACAUUCGAGUUUAAAACAUAAAAAAGGGACAAUAUCAUGAGUUUAUGGCCCCAGAACACUCUUGGGCCGUGAACACCAAUUAAUGGGGUUUUUAAGCGCCAAAACCCCUCCAAAUUGUCCCUAAGGCUUAUAUAUGACUUGUAGGCUUAUGGAAUCGGACUUAGAACACCUUGAACUAGAAUUUAGAAGAGUAAACAAGAGUUUACUGCCCAAGAACAUGCUUGGGCCAUAAACUCCUCCUCAUGGGGAGUAAACUCAUUUUUGUGUGUUAAAAAUGCCCUUAAACAUACCAAUGGCCUUGGAUUAAAUUCUAGAAUCGACCAACAACAAGCUAGGGACCUUAAAUGCAAUUAAAACAACUCCAUAAGGAGUUUACGGCCGUAAACCCCUCAUGGAAGGGUACCUGGGCUGUAAACUCCCACAAAAGGGGUUAUUUGGUGCCCUAAACUCCCCAUUUGACUUGGAAAAAUGCUUAGGAAAUUACCCACUACCACUUAAGCCCUUAAAACACCAAAAGAAAGACGGUAUAGGAGCUUACGUCCAGAAGCUCCCUUGCUUAUGGUCGUAAACUCCUCAAAGGGGCCAUUUCAUGCCUUAAACCUAUUUACACAAUUGAUAUUUGAGCCUAGCAUAAAUCUACAAUGGAUAUGAGACACUUUAGCACACUAGAUACCCUCACCAUGAGUUGACGGCCGUAAACUCAUGGUGAAUAGUCCCUGGGCCAUAAACUAAGUAUUAAGGGUUUACUCUCGGAGAGUAAACUCCAUUCCUAAGCCACACACACCUUUAGACGCUACCCGGGACACCCAAACACUUAUCCAAAGUGUUUUCCGCUCCUUUGAGCGUGUAUAUUUGUUAAAUUAGUAUUAAAUAUACUAAUUGUAUGUGAACAUAUGUUAUCAUAUGUUAAAUAGGUCAUUGUGUGUGUUCGAGUCCUUGCGUGACACCGAACGCCCAAACGGCACCUUCGUCGGACCUACUUACACCAGGUGAGUUCAUACCCCUGAAUGAACCUUUCAAUGUUUUUACAUGUUUUAUAGGGGGGAAUACAAGUUAAACAUGCCAGUUAUCAUAUCAAUCACAUGUGAUUGAUAACCCGCAUGCACAAGGUUUUACCACUGUACACUGUUUUUACCGAGUAGGAUGCUAUAAAUGGUUUUCAAAAAGGUUUUCACUUGUUCAAAACUCUUACUUAUACUGUUUUUAUCAAAGUUCAUUUCAAACUGGGUUAUG
rnacentral:lncRNA from 1 species